CUUUCUUCAUGCUCUUUCUCAUUAUGUAUUAUUUUAAUGAAAAUAAUUGUCCAAUCGGUACGUUUCCCUGUUUGAACAGUACAAUUUGUAAAUUACAAAGUAGUUGGUGUAACGGAAUAGAUGAUUGUCCUUACGGUGACGACGAAACAGCUGAGUUAUGUGUCGAUUUAAACGGAGAUUGGAGUUGGUUCUUUAAGCAGGAUAAACUUACAGAGAUGCAAAAUGACGAUUGUGUAAUC
rnacentral:lncRNA from 1 species